CUAGGGGCACCCUGCGGAGGAGGACCGACUAACCCCGGGGGCGCUGAGGGUCUAGCGGAGCCGCUUGCCCAACAGUCCCCUCUCCCGCGUGGGUUGCCCUGCCCUGCAUGCACUGCAUGAAAUGGGCUGUGCGGCCCUGUGCUCCAGCAACCUAGCCUCUUCCACCGUAGUCGGCGCCUUGGGGCUCUCGGCUCACCUGUCCAUGCAGCGGCCGAUCCCGGGAUCACUGACAGCUGAGCCAUGCUGGGCUUCUCAGAGUUGCACCUCUGGGCUCCGAAGUUGGGAGAGCUCCGGAUUCCUCCAACUUCAGGUGUUCCUCUUGUUUAUCCUGUGGUACACUCGCGCCAACGAUGGAAAAGAGAAGGCUCAUCCACAGAAGGCCUGUUCGUUGACAGAAAGCUCAGUUGGGAACUCCAGCUGACUGCUUCAAGUUGCCGAUUUCUGCUAGAUGCUGUGAGCUGCUAUCUUCCUGCUGGUGGGUGCCUGUUGUUGUUGCUGUUGUUGUUGUUGCUGUUGUUGUUGUUGUUGUUGUUGUUAUUUUCUUGGAAGCCUCACACCCAAAUGGAUUUAUCCUGCACUCACCAGAUGACUACCUCAACACACUUCCGAAGUCCAUUUCUGACGGAUAUUUUAAGUACACGAUUUGAUGAUGUUUUUCUGUCUAUCUGUCUGUCAUUUGCUAUUUCUUCUUUCAUUUUGGGUUGCUCUAUACUUAAUAAACUCACUCGUUCAAAACUA